AGACCCGAAACCCGGUGAUCUAGCCAUGGGCAGGUUGAAGGUUGGGUAACACUAACUGGAGGACCGAACCGACUAAUGUUGAAAAAUUAGCGGAUGACCUGUGGCUGGGGGUGAAAGGCCAAUCAAACCGGGAGAUAGCUGGUUCUCCCCGAAAGCUAUUUAGGUAGCGCCUCGUGAAUUCAUCUCCGGGGGUAGAGCACUGUUUCGGCUAGGGGGCCAUCCCGGCUUACCAACCCGAUGCAAACUGCGAAUACCGGAGAAUGUUAUCACGGGAGACACACGGCGGGUGCUAACGUCCGUCGUGAAGAGGGAAACAACCCAGACCGCCAGCUAAGGUCCCAAAGUCAUGGUUAAGUGGGAAACGAUGUGGGAAGGCCCAGACAGCCAGGAUGUUGGCUUAGAAGCAGCCAUCAUUUAAAGAAAGCGUAAUAGCUCACUGGUCGAGUCGGCCUGCGCGGAAGAUGUAACGGGGCUAAACCAUGCACCGAAGCUGCGGCAGCGACACUCAGGUGUUGUUGGGUAGGGGAGCGUUCUGUAAGCCUGUGAAGGUGUGUCGUGAGGCAUGCUGGAGGUAUCAGAAGUGCGAAUGCUGACAUAAGUAACGAUAAAGCGGGUGAAAAGCCCGCUCGCCGGAAGACCAAGGGUUCCUGUCCAACGUUAAUCGGGGCAGGGUGAGUCGACCCCUAAGGCGAGGCCGAAAGGCGUAGUCGAUGGGAAACGGGUUAAUAUUCCCGUACUUGGUGUUACUGCGAAGGGGGGACGGAGAAGGCUAUGUUGGCCGGGCGACGGUUGUCCCGGUUUAAGCGUGUAGGUGUGUGUUCCAGGUAAAUCCGGUUCACUUUAACACUGAGGCGUGAUGACGAGGCACUACGGUGCUGAAGCAACAAAUGCCCUGCUUCCAGGAAAAGCCUCUAAGCAUCAGGUAACAUCAAAUCGUACCCCAAACCGACACAGGUGGUCAGGUAGAGAAUACCAAGGCGCUUGAGAGAACUCGGGUGAAGGAACUAGGCAAAAUGGUGCCGUAACUUCGGGAGAAGGCACGCUGACAC
rnacentral:rRNA from 1 species